rnacentral:rRNA from 1 species
UACAGAGGGUGCAAGCGUUGUUCGGAAUUAUUGGGCGUAAAGGGCGCGUAGGCGGUGCGGUAAGUCUGUAGUGAAAUCUCUGGGCUCAACUCAGAGUCUGCUAUAGAAACUGCCGUGCUUGAGUGUGGGAGAGGUGAGUGGAAUUCCCGGUGUAGCGGUGAAAUGCGUAGAUAUCAGGGGGAACACCGGCGGUGUAGACGGCUCUCUGGACCGUAACUGACGCUGAGACACGAAAGCGUGGGUAGCAAACAGG